rnacentral:rRNA from 1 species
AUGAACGCUGGCGGUAUGCUUAACACAUGCCAGUCGCACGGACUCUUCGGAGUUAGUGGCGGACGGGUGAGUAACGCGUGAGAAUCUGGCUUUGGGUUCGGGACAACCACUGGAAACGGUGGCUAAUACCGGAUGUGCCGAGAGGUAAAAGAGAAAUUGCCUGAAGAUGAGCUCGCGUCUGAUUAGCUAGUUGGUGAGGUAAAGGCUCACCAAGGCAGCGAUCAGUAGCUGGUCUGAGAGGAUGACCAGCCACACUGGGACUGAGACACGGCCCAGACUCCUACGAGAGGCAGCAGUGGGGAAUUUUCCGCAAUGGGCGAAAGCCUGACGGAGCAAUACCGCGUGAGGGAAGAAGGCUCGUGGGGUAUAAACCUCUUUUCUUGGAGAAGAACAAAAUGACGGUACCUAAGGAAUAAGCACCGGCUAACUCCGUG